rnacentral:rRNA from 1 species
UACGUAGGGGGCAAGCGUUGUCCGGAUUUAUUGGGUCGUAAAGAGCGUGUAGGCGGCUAGAUAGGUCCGUUGUGAAACCUGGAGGCUCAACCUCCAGCUGUCGAUGGAAACCAUCUGGCUAGAGUCCGGAAGAGGAGAGUGGAAUUCCUGGUGUAGCGGUGAAAUGCGCAGAUAUCAGGAAGAACACCCGUGGCGAAGGCGGCUCUCUGGGACGUGACUGACGCUGAGACGCGAAAGCGUGGGGAGCGAACAGG